AGUUUUGAGCUAAAUAUAUUUAUAAUAUUAGUUAUUUAUGAAGGUGUUGUAAAAUCUUUAUUUAAAAUUAUAUUUAGGGGUGAUAGGCCUUUCAAAAACUAAGAUAUCUUGAAUCUAAUUAAAAGUAUGUAGUACAAUUAACACAACUAUUAAGUGAUUAGGCUUUAUAGAAUUAUUAACUUAUAAGAUUUUAUUUACUAUAAUUUAAUAAUUAAGUACAUAAAUAUAUUAAUAUUCAUAUAUUAUAGUUUAUAAAAGAGUAAUUAGAUAGAUUUAAGUUUAUAUUUCUUAUAAUAAUGUUAAUAUUAGUAUUAAGUUUAUAUUUAUAUGAUGAACUCGGCAAAAAUACUUCUCAACUGUUUAUCAAAAACAUAACUAUGUGAAUGAAUACAUAGCGGUUUCUGCUCAA
rnacentral:rRNA from 1 species